AUGCAGGAUGUGGAACCGCCACUGCCCGUCUACACUGCCCGUCACGGGAGGGAGCCGCGGGCUCAUCCCCAGGUCACUGAGGCAGCGCGCAGGGAAUCCACGGACGCGCACCCGUGGAGGCGCUGCCAGCGGUUCAGAAGGGACCCCAAGAGGUACAGGCAGGAGGCCCCCAGGUCCUCCCCGCACUCAGGGCGGCUGCAGCCACGCAGGCUCCGGGACGGACAGCAAGCCGGGGCGUCUGCUCCGUGCCAGGCCCCACUGCGGGUUCUGACCAGCUGCGUUCACGAAUCGAUGGGGUCAGAGCAGGUCCCGGGGCGCCUCGGCGGCCCUGAACCCACCCAACCAGCCCUGCUAGGUGCGGCUAAACCUGGGGCUCCUGCGCUGAGCACCCCGGCUCCCAGCACCCCGGCUCCCAGCACCCCAGCUCCCAGCCCCUCAGCUCCCAGCCCCCUCGGCUCCCAGCCCCCCCGCCUUCCAACCCCUUGGCUCCCAGCCUCCCGGCUCCCAGCUCCCCGGCUCCCAGCUCCCCGGCUCCCCGGCUCCAGGAGCAGCGCUGGGCCGUGGCAAGGGCAGCCCGCAGUUACACCUGCAGGGGAGGAGGAGACACCCCGGCCUGUCCACCCCCAGCGUGAGGUCCAGGCCGAGGGUGCGGCGGGGUCUGGCUGCGGGGCAGCUGUGGCCUUGCAGGGACAGUGUCAGCCGUGGGGACCGCCGCCGGACACCUCUCGAUCGCGGCCUCAGGACAGCAAGGUGGCUGCCGAUGUCUGGGCUGGAUGGCAAGGCGCCGGCCCGGCCCGGCCCCGGGCUGCCCGCUGGGGGGACGGCGACAACGGCGCAGGCGGGGACGGGCACAUCCAGGGGCGCAGGUGGGGCAGCUGCCGAUGCCGCCCUCCACGCUGCAGAGGUGCUACUGCCCAAGCGUUUCCCAGUCUGAAGUCACAGGACUGCGCUGAGCCCCCGACACUCCUCGAAGAGUCCCCAGAUCACACUGUCACCCGCCUGGCCGAGGAGCCCCUUGUUCUGUGUAACCCCCGACUCACAGUAACGUCCAGGACUUCCUGGGGGCGGCUCGGCGCGACAGCAAGCCACUACCUCCUGUGCCGCCCCAGGUGGGGGACCCGGGCUCAGGCCUUGGCUCCCGGCGCCGCGGUGCCCAGUGCCAGCCCGUGUGGCUCCUUCCUUCUCUCCCCAGCGCCGACCGCGCCCCCAUCGCGACACCCGCCCUCGGUCAACGCGCACUGA
rnacentral:lncRNA from 1 species